GACGUAGGGCGCGAGCGUUGUCCGGAUUUAUUGGGCGUAAAGAGCUCGUAGGCGGUUUGUCGCGUCUGCUGUGAAAACCCGAGGCUCAACCUCGGGCCUGCAGUGGGUACGGGCAAACUAGAGUGCGGUAGGGGAGAUUGGAAUUCCUGGUGUAGCGGUGGAAUGCGCAGAUAUCAGGAGGAACACCGGUGGCGAAGGCGGGACUCUGGGCCGAUACUGACGCUGAGGAGCGAAAGCGUGGGGAGCAAACAGG
rnacentral:rRNA from 1 species